GAUGAACGCUGGCGGCGUGCCUAAUACAUGCAAGUCGAGCGAACGGACGAGAAGCUUGCUUCUCUGAUGUUAGCGGCGGACGGGUGAGUAACACGUGGAUAACCUACCUAUAAGACUGGGAUAACUUCGGGAAACCGGAGCUAAUACCGGAUGAUAUUUUGAACCGCAUGGUUCAAAAGUGAAAGACGGUCUUGCUGUCACUUAUAGAUGGAUCCGCGCUGCAUUAGCUAGUUGGUAAGGUAACGGCUUACCAAGGCAACGAUGCAUAGCCGACCUGAGAGGGUGAUCGGCCACACUGGAACUGAGACACGGUCCAGACUCCUACGGGGGGCAGCAGUAGGGAAUCUUCCGCAAUGGGCGAAAGCCUGACGGAGCAACGCCGCGUGAGUGAUGAAGGUCUUCGGAUCGUAAAACUCUGUUAUUAGGGAAGAACAUAUGUGUAAGUAACUGUGCACAUCUUGACGGUACCUAAUCAGAAAGCCACGGCUAACUACGUG
rnacentral:rRNA from 1 species